rnacentral:rRNA from 1 species
GAUGAACGCUGGCGGCGUGCCUAAUACAUGCAAGUCGAGCGAACAGACGAGGAGCUUGCUCCUCUGACGUUAGCGGCGGACGGGUGAGUAACACGUGGAUAACCUACCUAUAAGACUGGGAUAACUUCGGGAAACCGGAGCUAAUACCGGAUAAUAUAUUGAACCGCAUGGUUCAAUAGUGAAAGACGGUUUUGCUGUCACUUAUAGAUGGAUCCGCGCCGCAUUAGCUAGUUGGUAAGGUAACGGCUUACCAAGGCAACGAUGCGUAGCCGACCUGAGAGGGUGAUCGGCCACACUGGAACUGAGACACGGUCCAGACUCCUACGGGAGGCAGCAGUAGGGAAUCUUCCGGAAUGGGCGAAAGCCUGACGGAGCAACGCUGCGUGAGUGAUGAAGGUCUUCGGAUCGUAAAACUCUGUUAUUAGGGAAGAACAAAUGUGUAAGUAACUAUGCACGUCUUGACGGUACCUAAUCAGAAAGCCACGGCUAACUACGUG